UGUAAAGUUGAUAGGAGCAUAUGCUCCCAAACAACUUUGAGUGGAGUCGUUCGAAAAGAAGUUUCUAUGGCCCCCUUGCUCAUUUAACACUGCAUCCGGGUGCCGAUGGAGAUACAGCGACCCUUGCUCACCUAUCACUGUGCUCGGGCCACACAGCGCACCACUUACGGGUGACGCCCUAGCUUUAGCGCGAUUUCGUUCUGGAUUCAUUUUCAUAAGGAUUCGACGUAACUGUGGAGUGCCGGCUGUCGACUACCUGACGCCAUCCCCCUCCUCCUUUACCCGGGCUUGGGACCGGCAAUGUAAGAUAAA
rnacentral:lncRNA from 1 species